AACAGACAAAUCGCCGAGGCGGGAGAGGCAUUCAGGACCUCGGGAUGCUGAAGCCUCGGGGUCCCCAGCCCCAGCCCAACCCGCGUGCCGCCUGCGCGUGGCGCAGUUACUUUGGAGAGGCCCCCCUACAAGCAGCUGAGGAAGGCCAGCAGCCAGUGAGGACCCAAGGCCCUCGGUCCAACAGCCCUGCAUGAACUCACCUCUUCUAACAAUCAUAUGAGUAAACUCGGAAGUCAGCAGAGACCACAACCCCAGCCAACACCUUGACUGCAGCUACAAGAGGCAUGGGGUCCAAGGCAUUCAGCUAAGCAGUACCCAUAGUGACCCACAGAAACUGAGAUAAUAAAGGUGUGAUGCUUGAAGUCACGAAAUUUCGAGGUGAUUUGUUCCACAGAAAUAAAUAACGACUCUAUCAGCAAA